rnacentral:lncRNA from 1 species
UGUUUGCAAUAGCGGUUCCCAAAAUGCAUAAAGACAUUAGAACACCUUUCAUAUAAUCACUAGUUACAUUGGUCAGCUGCUAUAUAAAUAAGAAACUUCUUGCCUCUGCAAAUUUUCUUAGCUAAACAAACAUACAUACAUGUACAUUUGUGUGUCUAUGAGUGUGUAUGUAGGAUAUGCGGAAAAGUUGCGCACGAGUCGCCGUACAGUAUAAUACCCAGCAAAGACCCUCACUAUAUGACUAAUCUUAGGACUGCUUACUGUGGCCUUUUUUAAGAGUAUCAAAGAGAACGCUAUUUAUGGGUUGUUUAUGCAUAUAUACAUCCAUAUAUAGUAUUCUAAGUCAGUCAAGAAAUGGGCCCAGUUCCAUUGUGGCUCUCUGCUCUUCAACGAAGACGAUGCGCCGUAUGCAAUAUCGUACGUGCGUGGUUGAAGCUGCUGUUGUGAGUGCGAGCGUGUGAGGGAGCGUCGGCCUUCAGUAUCUGUCGACGUUUGGUCCCUGAUUGCCUGCCUGCCCCCCGCCCGGUUGGUUGGUUGUGGAUGACGGCGAUGUCGUUGCUGCCGCUGGGGGUAGCGAUGCUCAAUUAGUCGAACGCUUCAUCGGUCCGGCUGGUAGUCGUUGAAAGAUAUCGUUGUAGUUGAAAUGAAACUGAUGUGCUUAGGCCCUUGCCGUUGUUGUUUGUAUCCCAGCCUCCGCCGCCAUCGCUGAGCUGAACGACGACGACGACAACGACGGCGAUAAUGAUGACGAUGAUCAGAGUAAUAGCGAUUUCGCCCGUUCGUUCUUGCUGCUUUUGAAGUGGUGAUGACGAUGUCGGCAGCAGCUACUGCUUCUGCAUCGUCGAAGGCGAUGGCGCGUGUGAUCAGCGUUGUGGCAGAAAUAGUCGUAAUAGUGGUGCUGGUAGUAUGGCGGUGACUAAUGGGGAAGAAUAAGAUGAUACCGCAGCGGAUAGCAGAGGCUGUGUGUGCGUGCACGGCGUGUGAUACAGCAGGGAGCAAGGGGCCACGACCUGCUCGCCUUCGAGCGUGCGGUGGCACUGGCGACGGAACAAUAAUAACAACCAUUGCGUGUAUACUGUAUAACAUUCUAGUAUCUGGGCGUCAGCAUAUGUCUCUGUGCGUGUAAAUAUGUAGGGACUAUACCGUUUUUAGCAUUGUCGUUGUGGCUGGAUAUGCCUGUCUCAGCUUGCCCACCACCUACUACUGAUAGUCACGCAUAUACGCACACCUAUAGAGACGUGCUUCAUUGAGUCGAUAUGUGAUGCUAGUACUAUUUAUGUUAUUUGCGGUGCUAAUGAGACAGUGGGGGAGCUAGGGAACCGCUAGCUGCUGGUAAAAACAGCUGCUAUUACCGCUGUCGUCGUCGUCGUCGUCGGAGGAGCGUGACACGUGAAUAGCAGAGCGGACACCCAAUUUCCACUUUGACCGGCGUAGAAUGUAUGACCCUUCGGAACAGAAUCGAAGCAAGGAAAACAGACGGAGGAGAAGCGAAAGACGAACGAACACGACGAGAAAAAGCGCACUCACAUUCAACUGUACCAUUUCCUCCCUCCUCCGCGCUAGCCCGUCCCCCAUCAUCAACAAUAACAACACCACCGUCACAUCUAACAUGUGGCGCAGAAGCACCGAAGACAACAUCAAUAUUCAUAUCAAUUGGCAAUCAGUGUCAGAUCAUGCGCGCCUGCAACUCUAUGCGGUUCUCUGAGAACCAACGGCGGAAGGCCUAUCUACCGUUAGGCUCUCCCAAAGCAGCAGCAGUGGCAACAAUAACCACGGCGGUUAUUCACAUAAUGAUAAUAACGCUUCAAUAAAAAAAAAAAAAUAAUAAUAUAUCGAUAUUAAGUGAAAUCACUAUACGCCAUACAGUGCCUUCACGCUCUUCGCGGCAGGUCGAUACUGCUCUGUGUCGAUAACUACACCGGUAAUUAUUGUAUUUUUUUUUUUAUCAAGUUUCAUUUUAGUCUUAACGUUUAUAAUAAUGUGAUGAGGAAUUAUUUCGCUUUUGCUGACGGGCCUGCACUUCGUAAGGUCCAACGCCUAAUGAUAUGAGGAUGCAUUGCGGUACUAUCGUGUAUUAUAUGGUGAGCUAUCUUACCAAUGUUUAUUUACAAGUACAAGACGGCAUUGUUUGCUCUAGCCAUUAGCUGCUAUUUUAGGACGCUGCUGGGAUUCAACAUGUGGAUCUUUCUCUAAGCAUCAUCUUUGACAAUGCGUUUACCACCACGGAACAUACAGCAUGAAGGGACGCAGACAAUCCACAAGUGCCGGACCAGACAGUCGACCCGUUGCAGGAAAUGAUCGGCAACAACUGAGCACUCAACAACAAUCGCAGCAGUUCCCCCCUGAGCCAACCUAUCAUGACCGGUGGGUCGGCCGUACGUCGGCCUGUCUAAGCGUUCUUAUGACGCCAGCGUUAGUCGUCUGAUUGCUGCUGCUGCUGCUGCUGCUGAUGUGGUUCAUAGGCCAGAAACGAUUUUUUGCGUUCGCCAAAUUUGGCACGGCAACUCUGCGAAGCCGACAUCAGCUCCGCGACGUUCAUCGUUCGCGGUGGUUCUUGCUUUUUUUUUCUUCUUCUUCUUCUUCGCAUCAAUACGAUUCUUUCCCAUUAUUGGCAUUACUCAGGCUGAUAUUGCCAUCCAGCUAUAUCUACGAAUUGUAGAGCGUGAAUAACGUUGCACGAACAGUGUCGUUGUUUGUUAUAGUAAUAUGGAAGCGGUAACAGCGGUCGCAACAAGUAGAAGUAAUAGUAAGCGUACUAGCAGUAGUUGUCCGAAUGGCAAUGGUCAUGGUUGGAGAGGCGGUAGCCAUCAUAACAUGCCGAUGUAAUACAAAGAAUGAUCCAUUCCUUCGUUUCCAGAUCUGCCAUUCGAUGGUGCCCAUUAUGGGUGUGUGCGUAUAGUUAGAACGCUGCACGUCGCUUGCUGCCACGCCAUGAACGCCGAUGGCGCUACCGAAGCCGCCAUAUAUCUGUACGAGUGAUAGUUGUACAGGAUGUUACGUGCCCCGUCGCAAGACCCCGAUAUGGCCAACAAUAAUAAUAACAACAACGACCCCCGCUACAAUGUUAUUAGUUCCAAUGAUAGCAGUAGCGGCAGGCCGCCGGGAAACACCGUUGAAUACAAAUGUAGCUAAAGUUCCAAGUUGUA